rnacentral:lncRNA from 1 species
AGGAUUUCAGUCUUGCUACAAUUUAUGAUGCUGAAGUCUCCAACAGUUCCGCCAGUUUACAGAAAACUCCAAUACCUGACCUGAACGUUGAUGAAACACACAUUGCUUUGGUGAAGCUCUCAGAGAAGCGCCGAUUAUUCCUACUAUUGGACAUGUGCGACAUGUAGUCCAAUAACAGUUUGCUCCUCGAAGAUGCUAUGAUUGAAAUGAAGAUAAGUCGGCUAGGUAAAAAUUUGAUUGAUCUUGCUAUGAUCGGGACAACUUCCAAUGCUAAUAGCAUGCAUCAGGCUAAACCUUUCUCCCCAAAGUCCAUUGGGUUGGUGGAUUUUGAGAAUGAUUUUACUACUUAUAGUAAAUCGAAGCAAGUCAAAUCCAGCAGCAGUGCUAUUGAGACACAGUGCAAAUCAAUUAGUUCUUCAAAUUUAAACAGCAAAGCUACAAUGAACUUUCAAAUAUUCACUCCUCCUAAUCCUUUACCAGCGUCAAGCAGUUAAUGGAAUGUUCAGAAUGCAAAAGACAAUCCUCUUCCCGGAAAUGCAGGUUACAAGAAAUGAUAAACUGCCAACAGAAUUGGGCAAGAAUCGAGGCUUGCCACUGCCAGUGACUCUAAUGACGCUGCUGAUUUUGAAUUCA